rnacentral:rRNA from 1 species
UAUGGUAAUUGCAGCCGCGGUAAUACGGAAGAUGCGAGCGUUAUCCGGAUUUAUUGGGUUUAAAGGGUGCGUAGGCGGAAGGAUAAGUCAGCGGUGAAAUGCUUCAGCUCAACUGGAGAAUUGCCGAUGAAACUGUUUUUCUAGAGUAUAAAAGAGGUAUGCGGAAUGCGUGGUGUAGCGGUGAAAUGCAUAGAUAUCACGCAGAACCCCGAUUGCGAAGGCAGCAUACUGGGCUAUAACUGACGCUGAAGCACGAAAGCGUGGGUAUCGAACAGG